CUACCCUUGACAUGCCCAGAAUCCUGCAGAGAUGCGGGAGUGCCCGAAAGGGGAUUGGAACACAGGUGCUGCAUGGCUGUCGUCAGCUCGUGUCGUGAGAUGUUGGGUUAAGUCCCGCAACGAGCGCAACCCUUAUCAUUAGUUGCUACGCAAGGGCACUCUAAUGAGACUGCCGGUGACAAACCGGAGGAAGGUGGGGAUGACGUCAAGUCCUCAUGGCCCUUAUGGGUAGGGCUUCACACGUCAUGCAAUGGUCGGUACAGAGGGUUGCCAAGCCGCGAGGUGGAGCCAAUCCCAGAAAGCCGAUCGUAGUCCGGAUUGUUCUCUGCAACUCGAGAGCAUGAAGUCGGAAUCGCUAGUAAUCGCGGAUCAGCAUGUCGCGGUGAAUACGUUCCC
rnacentral:rRNA from 1 species